rnacentral:lncRNA from 1 species
UUUCAUAUAACAUUCAUAAACUCCUUUCAUACAUUAUAGGUUUAGUUUGAACUUUGAAAUACUUUGAAUUAAAAUCGCAUAGGCAUUUUUCAUUUCAUCAGCAUGUCACAUGCAUAAGCAUGCUACAUGAACCAUCCAUGAACUCAUUUUAUUACAAGGAUGUUCACAUGUUACAAUCCUUACCAUGAAAAAAAAUUAAGAGAGCAUCUUGCUUGAAAUGGGCAGCUUUUGUCAUGAUCUUCCAUGCUCCAUCCAGUUCCAUUUAGCCUUGAUAUGUUAAGCAAGUCAUGCCCAUUCACCAAAACCUGUAAAUCUAAUACAAAUC